GACGAACGCUGGCGGCGUGCUUAACACAUGCAAGUCGAACGGUAAGGCCCUUCGGGGUACACGAGUGGCGAACGGGUGAGUAACACGUGGGUGAUCUGCCCUGCACUUCGGGAUAAGCCUGGGAAACUGGGUCUAAUACCGGAUAGGACCACUGCCUGCAUGGGUGGUGGUGGAAAGCUUUUGCGGUGUGGGAUGGGCCCGCGGCCUAUCAGCUUGUUGGUGGGGUGAUGGCCUACCAAGGCGACGACGGGUAGCCGGCCUGAGAGGGUGACCGGCCGCACUGGGACUGGGAUACGGCCCAGACUCCUACGGGAGGCAGCAGUGGGGAAUAUUGCACAAUGGGCGCAAGCCUGAUGCAGCGACGCCGCGUGAGGGAUGACGGCCUUCGGGUUGUAAACCUCUUUCAGCACCGACGAAGCGCAAGUGACGGUAGGUGCAGAAGAAGGACCGGCCAACUACGUGCCAGCAGCCGCCGCUG
rnacentral:rRNA from 1 species